AACGAACGCUGGCGGCAUGCCUAACACAUGCAAGUCGAACGAGACCUUCGGGUCUAGUGGCGCACGGGUGCGUAACGCGUGGGAACCUGCCCUUAGGUUCGGAAUAACUCCCCGAAAGGGGUGCUAAUACCGGAUAAUGUCUGCGGACCAAAGAUUUAUCGCCUUUGGAUGGGCCCGCGUUGGAUGAGCUAGUUGGUAGGGUAAAAGCCUACCAAGGCGACGAUCCAUAGCUGGUCUGAGAGGAUGAUCAGCCACACUGGGACUGAGACACGGCCCAGACUCCUACGGGAGGCAGCAGUGGGGAAUAUUGGACAAUGGGCGAAAGCCUGAUCCAGCAAUGCCGCGUGAGUGAUGAAGGCCUUAGGGUUGUAAAGCUCUUUUACCCGGGAUGAUAAUGACAGUACCGGGAGAAUAAGCUCCGGCUAACUCCGUG
rnacentral:rRNA from 1 species